rnacentral:rRNA from 1 species
UGCAAGUCGAACGUGAUCCGGGGCUUGCUCCGGUGAAAGUGGCGGACGGGUGAGUAACGCGUGGGAACCUGCCCAGUGGUCGGGGAUAACUGCGGGAAACUGCAGCUAAUACCCGGUAAGCCCUUGAGCUUUGGCUUGGGGGGAAAGAUUUAUCGCCAUUGGAGGGGCCCGCGUCGGAUUAGGUAGUUGGUGGGGUAACGGCCUACCAAGCCUACGAUCCGUAGCUGGUCUGAGAGGAUGAUCAGCCACACUGGGACUGAGAUACGGCCCAGACUCCUACGGGAGGCAGCAGUGGGGAAUAUUGGACAAUGGGCGCAAGCCUGAUCCAGCAAUGCCGCGUGAGUGAAGAAGGCCUUAGGGUUGUAAAGCUCUUUCGGCGGGGACGAUGAUGACGGUACCCGCAGAAGAAGCCCCGGCUAACUCCGUGCCAGCAGCCGCGGUAAUACGGAGGGGGCUAGCGUUGUUCGGAAUUACUAGGCGUAAAGGGCGCGUAGGCGGCGCGAUAAGUUAGGCGUGAAAGGCCCGGGCUCAACCCGGGGACUGCGCUUGAUACUGUUGCGCUGUGAGUCCGGGAGAGGAUGGCGGAAUUCCCAGUGUAGAGGUGAAAUUCGUAGAUAUUGGGAAGA